UACGUAGGGGGCAAGCGUUGUCCGGAUUUAUUGGGCGUAAAGAGCGUGUAGGCGGCCAGGUAGGUCGGUUGUGAAAACUAGAGGCUUAACCUCUAGACGUCGACCGAAACCAUCUGGCUAGAGUCCGGAAGAGGAGAGUGGAAUUCCGUGGUGUAGCGGUGAAAUGCGCAGAUAUCAGGAAGAACACCCGUGGCGAAAGCGGCUCUCUAGGACGGUACUGACGCUGAGACGCGAAAGCGUGGGGAGCGAACAGG
rnacentral:rRNA from 1 species